rnacentral:rRNA from 1 species
GAUGAACGCUGGCGGCGUACCUAAUACAUGCAAGUCGAGCGAAUGGAUUAAGAGCUUGCUCUUAUGAAGUUAGCGGCGGACGGGUGAGUAACACGUGGGUAACCUGCCCAUAAGACUGGGAUAACUCCGGGAAACCGGGGCUCAUACCGGAGAACAUUUUGAACCGCCUGGUUCGAAGUUGAACGGCGGCUCAGGCUGUCACUUAUGGAUGGACCCACGUCGCAUUAGCCAGUUGGCGAGGUAACGGCUCAACAAGGCAACGAUGCGUAGCCGGCCUGAGAGGGUGAUCGGCCACACGGGGACGGAGACACGGCCCAGACUCCUACGGGAGGCAGCAGUAGGGAAUCUUCCGCAAUGGACGAAAGUCUGACGGAGCAACGCCGCGUGAGUGAUGAAGGCUUUCGGGUCGUAAAACUCUGUUGUUAGGGAAGAACAAGUGCUAGUUGAAUAAGCUGGCACCUUGACGGUACCUAACCAGAAAGCCACGGCUAACUACGUGCCAGCCGCCGCGGUAA